AUUAAGUGGAGGAAAGGAUGGAUCCGCGGGAGGACUCGAUGGACCAAUCAACGAAGAUUCGGAUGUGCAGUUUGAUGAGACGAUCCCAUCUCCAUCUCAUCUUCUCGUGUCAAGGACGCCAUGGAAGAGGUUUCGCUUCUCUUCAUUCAUGAGCAGGAUCAGGAUCUUUCUUGAACAAACUUAAUUAUUGGCAUGCAGAUUCAUGAAUCAAUUUAAUUUUUGUUUGUGCUGUAGGCAGCGUCAUCCCAUCUCAUCUGCUUGUGUGAAGGACAGGGGCCCUGGAGGAGCUGCUCCCCUGCGGGUUCAGUGGCUGCUCCGACACUGACGGCAUGGAAGGUCCUCGCUUGCCCUUACCUCUCCCUGUUCGGUUCCGUUCAUGAGCAGAUUUAAUUUUUGGUAGAUUCACGAAUCAAUUUCCCACAAGUUGGAGCUUUAUGUGGUUGCGACUAGGGAUUAUUGUAAUGCUAUUCGCUUUCACUGGAUGGCCGUGUGAAUGAAAUUACAUGUGUUAGUCAAAUGAACAAAUUAGAUGACCCCCCAUGCCUACAAGCCUUCUUGGGUUAAAAUUAAAUGGUUUAUUGAUGUCUAGUUUUUGUAUGUUCUGGUUGGUUGUGAAACACAUGCGGUUUUUCUAGGCCGAUUCAGUUUUUUGGUUCUGUCUUGUUCUAGCCUUCUAGGUCGAUUCAGUUUUUCAUUUUCUCUCUUUAUGAUUUAAACACGAACUGCAGAUCCAGUAUCUGUUUGAUCAUCCAUGUGCCAUAUAUAUAUAUGGAGCUGUCUGUAGCAUUUGAUCACUACUACUACUAGUUGCAGCAACUAGUAGUGCCUUAACAAUGGGCUCUCUCUGGAAAACAAGUCUUCUUGAGGAGAAAUCUAACUGUACUAAGUACCAGUAGUAAGUAUCUUCUAUUUGCACCCCUAACAGCUUAGAUUGUUUUUUUUAACUUGUUAAAAUCGUGGAAGAUGUUUAGCAGCUGCUUCUCUUGGAAGCUGCUCUUUCUAAACAUAGUCAUGGAUAUGUAUGUACUUGCUUCAUAUACCAUACCUUUUCAGAAAUAUAUAUCAGCUGUUCUUGCAGUAUUUAAGAUGUUUGAAUGAGAAAUUACCAUUUUCGUGCCUCCAUUAAUUUUUUUCUCUGAAUAAACUGCUCUUUUGUUGCACGUGAAGGAAAGAAAUUGGUAAGAAUCUACAUAUCUACACGAGAACAUUUGUAGUUGAAGGACUUAGUCUGACCAUUUCUUUUCGCACUCGUUCAUUUCUUUUCUAUCUUGCACCUAUGCUUAAUAUGGUAUUGCUAUCUAUUCUGGAACUGCAAAUAUGUUUAUAUAAAGAUGUAUAUAAAUCAAGCAACACACGCAUUGUAGUUUGUUACUUCUUGGUUUUCUAACUUGUGUCAAAAACUUUCAGCAUGUUAUCAGAAUGGUAGCUUGUAUUGCUGCAGAGCCCAUUUCUAUCCUGGAAAGCAUGGAUUCUGAAGGAUAUGUAUAAUGGGACGUCAAACCUGAGAACUUUCAUCUCAGCCAGCCUGGAACUCCUGAAGAAAAGAAACCUUUUCUUGUAGAUCUUGGAUUAGAGGUGAUCGUUGUUGUGAUGAAGCUGCAGUGGUGGCGUAGGAAAUUUAGCUUAUUUUUUGAGGUCACCUAAUCUUCUACAACCUUGGCAAUGGCGGCUGCCUCUUCUUGGUUCAGAGGUGAUCGUUGUUGUGAUGAAGCUGCAGAGGUGGCAUAGGUUGACGGAACUUGGUAAGCUCAAGGGACACGUCGAAGUUGGUUUGUCAACUAGAAGGCGCUCGACAUCGAGACUGUCCAGCAGUUUGUACAUGGUGGGAUGAUAUGGGCUUACAUGACUGCCUCUUCAGCUACAACUACUUGGGAGUUUUAGCUUAUUCUUUGAGGCUGCCAUAUCUUCUACAACCUCGGCGAUGGCGCCACCUCUUCUUGGUUCAGUGAAUAUAGGAAUACGAUGGCUUGACUGAUUGUGACUUGCCACAGAGCUUAUUUUAACAGAGCAUCAUGGAAGAAGCUUGGUUUCAAGUUGCCAUGGAACUUUGCUCACUUGUUUCCCCAAAGUUGUUCUUCUUCAUUUGUGUUCUCCCCAAUGCUGCAGAGGUGGCGUAGGUUGAGGGAACUUGAUAAGCUCAAGGGACAUGUGGAAUUUGGUUUGCCAACUAGAAGGCGCUCGGCAUCGAGACGGUCCAGCAGUCCGUACACGGUGUGAUGAUCUGGGCUUCCAUGAAUGCAUCAGCUACAACUACUUGGAUGCGAUCGUUGUUGUGAUAGAGCUGCAGUGGUGGUGUAGGUUAUUCUUUGAGGUCUCCUAAUCUUCUACAACCUCGGCAGUGGUGGCUGCCUCUUCUUGGUUCAGGAGUGGAAGUCGCAGGCUGAGGGAAGGGAAGUUUAUACUCCACAUGGGAAGGAAAGGAGGUGACAGACCCAAGUGUUGUUUGCUUGCGCGGUAGUUGCAACAAACAUGCCCCAAGUGUUGUUCCUUCAAGACUUUUUGUUGCUGUGGACACAUGUGUUUGUUAUGGUUGGUUUAUGAUGAGUCACAACAAAAAACUUGGGUUGUUGAUGUGUCUGUGAAACAAUCAAUUUCUUUUUGUUUGUUUGUUUGUAUCGAACCCAAGGAAGGAGCAUAAUACUUUGAAGCUGCCGAUCGAAUUGGUGGUUUUGAGGGUGGUAUUAUAUAUUGAACUCACUCA